CGCCCCUUCCCUCAGCCCCGCGCCGCCCUCAGCCGCGGUCACAGCGCCUCGCUACCCCCGCAGGGUGGGACACGCACGGGGCUGAGGAGAAACACGAGUCCCACAGGUCAGGCUGUGGCGCCCAACGCACCCAGGGAACCUCCGUGACUUCCACUGCCGAGACUGAUGCCUUCAAGCCGCAUUUCCCACCAGCGCGCCCUAAGCUGAAAUAGGAUUUCUAAAGAAAAAUGAAGAUCAAAGACAAAAGCAACCUCCCAUUGUGUCUCAGAAGAGGAAACAAAAAUGUGUAAAAUUACUAAAUCUGGAAACAGAAGGGUUUAAGGAAACAGAAGAAAACGCAGCUGUUGCUCAGGUACCAGCUGAAGAAAGGAUAAAAGCAAACCAGAUCUCAGCAUCCUCCCUGAUACAUCUGAUCAGCAUGAAAUAUGUCCAGGGAAACACUGAAGCUGCUCUCAGUUGUUACAGAUAUAAUUGAAGCUCUGGGCAAACCCUAGAUAUUCAUGUAAAGGAAGAAAUUUAAUAUGCAAAACUACUGAAACAGCAUCACAUCUUCAAAAGUCUAAUAAUAGCUCUAAGGUUUUUUCAAGGCUUCUAUUAAAAUAAGCUGCUUUAAAAAUACAUACAAAACCAGCAGAAAAAUACCUCCCAACUUUUUCAGUAUAAAGCAGGCAAAUUAACAUCUGCUUUACUACUUGCCUGUUAAUUACCGAAACUAAGAACACAUUUCCAUGGUGGAACUGGCAGGAAACAAACAAAAAAAUCAACAAGAAAUCACCAUGGCACAGCUUGAAGUCCAGUGGCUCAUGAACUACGAGAGCUCCCAUGAAAAAACUGAUAACUUAAAACCAGCAACAAAAAAAAAAUCUGUCAUCAACGUGAUAAAAGGAAUUAUCAUAGUAAAGUUUGGAGGUCUGGGGUUUUUCGCAUGUAUGUUUUGGCAUUUUAUACACUCAGCAUUAAAGAGCAAAAAGAGAAAUUCAGAGUAUUUUACAGAAACAGAGCCAGUUAGAUUGCUUUUGAAACCACACAAAAAAAAGGUAGUAAGUUCAAGCAGACUUUAAAACUUAUCAAGUGGUUUAUUUGUCAGUAGAGAGCAGUGGAUUCACAAUCAAUUACCCCUUGUUCUUUUCUUGCUAACCAUACUAGCACCUCCCUACUAAUGCUUUGUUCCAAGUAGAAUGGAACAGAAACAGGCAAAACCUGAGAUAAAUUUUGCCUCUUUUUGCCUCACCCCACUGCCCAAGAAAUUACUUCUCUUCUGGACUAUUUCUGCCACUGGAGGCUUAGCAGUCACCAAGGCAUCUGGCAUUACAUAUGCUGUACAACAGAUACUAUCAUCACUUGAUAGUCUUGUGCUGAUACUGCCACUGAGUUGCUUCAAUAGUAAGGUCUACUCAAAUAAAAGAUUAAAACUAUUCUCUAGCUAAAGCCUUCAAAGGUUACCUAGAUCAUCAAGGUGGCCAUUUAGCAAAUUUAAUGCCAUUUAAAAGAGCAGCUAAGACAGGUAGACAGAAUAUACCACUCCAAGGUUAUAAAAUGGUUCAUUUUGAUAGUUGCAAAUAAUGUUUUCCAGAGAAACUGUGAUGAGCUGGCAGAAAGCACCAACCAACCAGAAAAUUACCUAUUUAAAAAGUUAUGGUGAGUGACCAUUUAUUCCUAGUAACCUGCCUGGUAAGUGCUCCAGACCCACCAGAUGACAGUGUAAUUUCAGCCUUUCAUUCAACUCUGGAAAGUGUAAGUCACUUAUGGAUAUGAGCAUGAACACCCAAAUGUUUUUAUCUGAAAAACAAACAAUCAAGCAAAACCAAAAUCCUACUAAAAUCCUAUAAUUGAGAAAAUGAUGAUGCAUCAAUUUAAAAGUUCAGGAUCGUUUGCUCCAGAAUUUACACCUGCACUAAUUUGGUUUAAUGCAUGAGUAUAAGGCAGGGACAGUAUUUUAAACAGACAGAAGUAAAAAGCCUUGAAUUUCCUGCAAAAUUCCAGACUGCUGACAAAUCUGAGCUGUAUUGUUUCUGUUUCACCCAGAAACUCAGCAGAUCCACACAGAUUACCACUCAGGAGUUCUGUGCCUUGAAACCCAUGAAAUUGUGAUUUAUUUUCUUUUUAGUUGAGUACGCAUUUUAAGUUAAGUUUAAAUUAAGUUAGCAGAAAUGACAGAUUAUUUUCAAGUGAAAGAAUCUGUAGAAAUUCCUAUUUCUGUAAUUCUCCAGCAAAAACUUGCACUUUAAGGUAGGAGUAGUGAGUUGUGUACUUUACUAAAAACCUCAGUACAUGUACUACAAAACAAGACCCUGCAAAUAUUGACCCUCGAAAUGAAGCCAUUACAGGAUUCUUCUCAUUCAGAUAAUACUGCCAUCAACAACACAAUCAAUCCAAUAUGCCCUACUGACCUGUCAGUUAUUGCCAUGGUGAACAACUCAUUUCCAAGAACUCAACAGGCCCUGCCAAUCCCCAUGAGCACAGGAACAGGAAGGAGCAGGCACCAGCCUGGCACUGACAGAUCCUCUGGGGGUGGAAAUAGUUCUGUCACCACUUCACCUACAAUUAUGCAUCUGGGUUUCCCAUGGAGAGUCUGCACAUAAAACAUUUCUGUGGUUCUCCUGGUCUGCCUGUUUCUGCCUGUUUCAGUAGCCCUGUGAUGCCAUUGCAUCUUCAGAACCUUUAUAGGAGAAAAUUUAGUGCAGUAUCAAGACUGACUGAGUUGCCUAAUCAGGCCAGACCCACUGUACAGCAUCUCGUGGUGAAUCACACAAGAACGUGGAAAGAGGAAUAAUCUCCACAGAAUGAAUCCUAAUGCCAGCUUUCUUUGCUACUCCUUCAUUAUUCCAGCACAAAUAAAGAACAAAGGAUACAAAGAUAAAUUCCAUUGUUUUAUCCAUGAAUAAACCUGCAGGUGGUUGCACUUAUGUUAA